rnacentral:rRNA from 1 species
AUCGAACGCUGGCGGCAGGCCUAACACAUGCAAGUCGAACGCGUGGCGGACGGGUGCGUAAUGUCUGGGAAACUGCCUGAUGGCGAGGGAUACCUACUGGAAACGGUCGCUAAUCCCGCCUACCAUCGGAUGUGCCCAGAUGGGAUUAGCUAGUAGGUGGGGUAACGGCUCACCUAGGCGACGAUCCCUAGCUGUUCUGAGAGGAUGACCAGCCACACUGGAACUGAGACACGGUCCAGACUCCUACGGGAGGCAGCAGUGGGGAAUAUUGCACAAUGGGCGCAAGCCUGAUGCAGCCAUGCCGCGUGUAUGAAGAAGGCCUUCGGGUUGUAAAGUACUUUCAGCGGGGAGGCGUUACCCGCAGAAGAAGCACCGGCUAACUCCGUGCCAGCCGCCGCGGUAAUUC